AGUUAGCCUGGUGGACACAACGGAACAACAAAGAAACCUACUCUUGAAUGAGGUGAAAGGUGAGGCCAGACACUGGAUGUUGUCCUCUGACCUCCAACAAUGUGUCCCACACACAGACAUGACACGCAAACAUCACAUACACAAACACACAUGCAUCAUACAUGCACACACAUUUGUAAGUUAUCAUAGAAUGCUGAUGUCAUUUUGCCAGUUUCAGGGAAUGCAUCACUAUUUUGUAUGUCCCUCCUCCCUCCCAAUAGUUAGCAUAAUUUCUUUAGAUUCUCUGUACAUUUAGAACCACAGCAGACACUUAAAAUUUUUGCUUCCAUUCUCAAAUAAAAAUUAGAAAAUUCAAUAAAAGUCUAUUGCUCUAUUUAUGGUAAUUUUGCUUGCUGUGUUCUUGAUCCUGACGUCUCAAUAUUCCUUCCUGUGUCUCUUCUGGUUGUAGAACUUCCUUUAGCUGCUCCUGUAGCAUAUAUUUGCUGAAGAUGACUCCUUUUUAGGUUAGUGUUUUGAUUUGUUUUUUAUGGUGGGGGGCAGGGUGGGAUGAGGCGUUGGUUUAGCUUUAUUCCUGAAGGUUGUUUUCAGUAAACACAGGAUUUUUUUUUUUCUGACAGUUUCCUUCUGUAAACACCCUGAGAGAUUUUUUACUUCCUGGACUGUGUGGUUGCUGAUGUGAAAUCACCAUCAUUUGAAUUUGUUUGCCUCUCUACAUGGAUGAGGUAAACAUCUCCUGCUGCUUUCAGGAUUUCUCUCCUUGUCUUUG
rnacentral:lncRNA from 1 species